rnacentral:piRNA from 1 species
CNGCUUUGAAGCUGGGUGACCUUUGUCCUU